CAGAAUCGAGUGGAGGAAGGUGGGAUCUACGUGGACCAAUUAUUUUUCCAUGACCCGGAUGGCUUCAUGAUCGAGAUCUGCAACUGCGAGAACCUCCCGGUGAUCUCACUUUCCGGGGAACCCAUUAUGGCCUGCAAGAGAGUCGUCAGCUUCACUCCGCAGCAACAGCAGCAGCAACAGUAUCUCCCGCAAGCCAUCCAUGUCAAGGAGGAGCCCUGCGCAUGAAGAAGAAUGAUCGAGCAUCUCCUCCAUCUCUUUCGGUUUGCUUGCUUUAGUAUGUAUGGUGUUCUGUCGCCAGGACGACAUGGCUUCUUGUGCCUU
rnacentral:lncRNA from 1 species